rnacentral:rRNA from 1 species
CUCGUGAACCAAAUAUGGUGGGCUGGGUUGUCUUUGCGGAAACGCUUGGGCGACUUGUCUCAAAUUGUAAUCAUAAUAUGGGCGGCGGUGAAUCCUUUGCAGACGACUUGAAUGGGAACGGUACUGUAAGUGGUAGAGUAGCCUUGUUGCUACGAUCCACUGAGGUUAAGCCCUUGUUCUAAAGAUUU